UGGAUUGGUUGCGCCUACUAGGAACCCUGUGUUGUUGUCGGAGGCAAAAUGGCGGCGGCGGUGGCCGGGGCCGCCCUGCUGGGCAAGGGGCUGGACAUCAGCCUGGCGGCGCUGCAGCAGCACGACCCCUACAUCAGCAGCAUCGUGGACGUGGCCAGCCAGGUGGCGCUCUACACCUUCGGGCACCGCGCCAACGAGUGGGAGAAGACUGAUGUGGAGGGAACGCUGUUUGUUUACACAAGAUCAGCUUCUCCAAGGCAUGGUUUCACAAUUAUGAACAGACUGAGCAUGGAAAAUCGAACAGAACCUAUUACUAAAGACCUCGAUUUCCAGCUGCAGGACCCUUUUCUACUGUACAGAAAUGCCAGAUUGUCCAUAUAUGGGAUUUGGUUUUAUGAUAAGGAAGAAUGCCAAAGAAUUGCAGAGCUCAUGAAAAACCUAACUCAGCAGGAACAAUUCAAAGCACAGCAGGGCACGGGAGCAGGAGUGUCCCCAAUGAUCAUGAAUUCUUCUAAUAACAAAGAAGUGGAUAUCUUACGGAUGCUUACUAAGGCCAAAGAUGAGUAUACCAAGUGUAAGACCUGCUCAGAGCCAAAACAAAUAACUAGUUCCUCUGCAAUUUAUAACAACCCCAACCUAAUCAAACCAAUUCCAGUGAAGCCUAGUGAAAAUCAGCAUCAACGAAUAUCUCAGCAAAGCAAGAAUGUGGAUUCUGAACCACAGCACUUGUCUUUGACAGCACUGUUUGGAAAACAAGAAAAGCCAGAUGUCUCAGAACCACUUAAUAAACAGCACCAAGAGAAUCUUCCUCUUAGGCAGGGUGUGGUACGUUCACUGUCCUAUGAAGAACCUAGCAGGCAUUCGCCCUCUGCAGAGAAACAGCUUUGCCCCGCCAUUCAGAAGCUUAUGGUGCGUGGGACAGACCUUCAUCCGCUUGCUGAGUUUCCUGAGAACCCACUCUGUGAAAAUGGCAAUAUCCACCCUGUGGGUGAGACUUUCACAGGACUCUUCCAACCUGUGACUUCUCAUGGUAUUGCGGCAUCUCAUGUAGUUCAGGAUACUGCUGGCACUCAGAGCCUAUUACAGAAAUUACAGAGUCAGUCAGGGUCAGUGACUAAAAUGGACCCUGGUGCAACAGGAUCUGUGAACUCGACAGCUUCUGUGUUCAGCAGGACUCCUGCUGCUGUUGGAGCACCAGCAGCAACAGUAAAUAAUAGGAGCCAACCACCUUUGGUGUAUUUCAAUGGUUCCCUACCAGGCCAGACUUUAGAGUCUCAGACACUUGGUAAAGAACAGUCCAAACUUCCUAGACAGCCACUUUCUCUCUCUGGCAAUCAAGCAGCCAAUUCUGGGGUGAUUUCACCUCAAGAGUUACUGAAGAAACUCCAGAUAGUGCAACAAGAACAACAGUUGCAUGUAUCCAGCAGACCAACCUUGGCAGCUAAGUUUCCUGUUGUUACUCAGAAUACCAAUACGCUGAAACCACUGGAAUCCUGGAUAGAAAAGGCACCAGGUACAGAAAAACAGAGCACUCUUCUUCAGGUCAUCUCACCACAACGCAUUCCUGCCACUGUGACUCCUACCUUAUUGAUGUCCCCAAUGGUGUUCACUCAGUCCACACCUGCUCCACCAAAAGCAAAUGAAAGUGGGCGGUUAGCAGCAGCAAACCAAGAACCUGCUGCUAGCUCAGCUAGCCUUCUCCUGCCACUGCAAACCCCAGAGCCAUCUGUGGUCAACAGCAGCUCAAUGACAAAGUUGCAGCUCCAGGAAACACUUCUACACCUGAUCCAGAAUGAUGACAACUUCUUAAAUAUUAUUUAUGAAGCAUAUCUCUUCAGUGUGAGAAAGGCGGCAAUUAAAAAGUCUCUGUGAAAGAUGAUUUUUAAAUUCAAUUACUAUUGCUUCCUGAACUCCAGGAAAAAGGUUUCAAAUUUUUCAAGAGCAGGAUGCAGCUGAAUAGGCAGGAUGCUUCGUCUCCUCUGACAGCCUAUUUAAAAUGUGUCGAGCAUUGAAUUUCAGUCAUAAAAGUGGUGAGUAUUCGAGAUAUCUUUGUCCCUUUAGGAUAUUAAAAUAAUAGUUUAAUAUUUUAGCAAAUGUGGAGAUCUUUGCUGAGGAAAAGGCAAAAUUAAAAGACAUUUUUUAGUAAACAUUUGAGCCUCUAAUGUAGAAUAUGUUAUGAGAUGGCAGCUUUACCCAGAGGGAUCCCUGAAACCUAGAAAAAGGCAAAAUUCUAGUCCCGGAGAUGAAUAAUGCACUAAAAAAUUAAUCCUUAGUCAACCUACAGUAAACUUUACUGCUAAUCCUAAGGACUUUUAAGAGACUCUUACAAGUCCUUGCCUUUUCCAAACUGCUACGGAUAUCUCUAACAAGCUUGUUCUGGCCUCUAGACAUAAAUCUGUGCACAGCUGAGUUGAGAUUAUAGGAGGAGGGAGCUUAGCACGUACAAACAAGAGGAAGAAAAUGUGGUUCUGCAAGACACUGAAGAAACAAAGGCUGUAGCUUUAUAAAUACUUUAAGCUGGCUCUGCUGCUGCUGAGGCAGCCUGUCCCAGCCACCCACUCCUAGCUGCUCAUCCCACACUAGUCUUUCCUUCCUUUUUCCUUUGUUUUUCUCCUUUUUUGUUUUCAUUAAGAUGGCUACAUUGUAAAAUGUGUUGCAGCAGAAUUAGUCGAGGUUAAGACUCCCGUGCAGGUGAGAUUGGAUUUAACCUAGAUGAGUUCAGUGGGCAGCAGCCCAGGCACCUGUAUCGGUGUAUGGAUGGGGUGUGCAGCUGUGGGGGUAAGUGGGUGGGAUGUGGGGAGAGGGAAGUGGGGCAGGAGACUUGAGCUGCAGUACUGCCUUAAACUGACUUGAAGCUUUCGUGAAACUGUGAUCUAAAGGCCUUUGCCUCUUCUCUGACAUUAAGGCUCGGAAGAUGCCACAAAGAUCAAAAUGUGACUUCGUUGUUAUCCCCUACCUUGGCACUGUGUGGAAGUCUGUGAAAGUGUUUGCAGAUACCCCCACAAAGGGUAGCUACUGUGCACGAGCCUAAUCUCUCCAGGCUGUCUGCAGAGCCAGUGGAAAGACAGGAUCUGCUUGAGGGCAAGUCUAAGUACAAACCUAAUUUAGCUUGGGAGAUUAGAUUGACUGGGCUGAAGUUAGCCUUUGCAAACACCUUCCCCACCACCACCAUCUUGAACUGAACAAGUACAGACAUCAGAGUCAGCCCCUACCUUUCCUCACAAUAUGGCAGAUGUUUGGGCGAAUUUUCCCUUCCUUUUUUUUUUUUUUUUUUUUUUUUUUUUUUUUUAAUUUAAUGGAGAUUGUACCAUCAAACCUGAACAGACUGUUCAGAUAUAAAUCUGCCCAGCAUGGAAGUGAAUGUGAAAUGCAGGAACCAGAUUGCUUUUGUAUGUGUAGCUGAAAAAGCUACUGAAACAAGCAGGAAAUAAGCACUGGAAAGAUAAAAAGGAGAGAAAAAGAGAGAUUUUUAGGUCAUUUUAAAGAAUAGCUUUGUAGCUGUUAUGGAAAGAAUUUGAGUUGCAAGUAAUCUCCAUACUUCUUCCUUUUAAAAGGCGAGCAACAUCAUAAAAACUUCCAAAGAAUGAAUUUAGAGUAAACAUCUGGUAUACACAAUAGGAAGUCACUACACAUUUUUUGAGAGCAGCAGCUUCAGUCAUACAUGUAAUAAAAAAACAUUUUUGAAACCCUUUGGGGCAUAUAUUAAUUAAAAGCCCUUUUUACUAUAUUUGGACACAAAUUCCACAAAAAGCAAAGCAAGCUCUGAGUUCAGAACAAUGUGUCUGCAUGAACACCACCAGUCAAUACAGGCGGAAGAAAAAACCCUCUGGCAUGUGGUGACUAAACGAAAGUCAAGAAAUAGAAAGGAUGACAUCUUACCAUCAGCAAGAGAAUAGCCUGCUUUCACGCCAUGAGGGAUCUAUGGGAAAUGAUGGCAAAGUCCUACAGCUGCUACCUUGUGUAUAGAGGGAUGCUAAUCCUGUCGUUAGAUCCUACAUAAAUAUUAACUCUUUUCUCGCCCAAGUACUGCCACCCUGCUCCCCAGGCCCAUGUGCCCAAUGCAGAGCUGCUACGCAUUGCCUUGAACCGUGCUGCUGGUACAGCCACUGGUACGUAUUUCUUCACCCGAUACCUGAAAUCUGCUUCUGAAACAUACUAAAACAGAGAGAGAUUACUGUUAUGUCACUUCAGAAACCUACCAACCUGUGUGUAUUUCUUCAGCACUUGCCUGUAAAUACGUUUAGAGGGAGAGAGGAAAGGAGUGUGCAGGCUCUUGGCAGCGCUCCGAGCGCGGGGCUACUCAGGCUGGGAACAAAAGCUCUGUUUUCCUUCAUUUUUACUGCUGCUUAGCAGCCUGGCUCACUAGCAGCCACCGCCUUUCCAUUCAGAGCACUAGCCCCAGACCUACCGCUUGGUAAAAGUGCCUGCACUUCUCAUUCAUCUAAGAAAGGGGGGGGGUUUAUGCCUGAGGCUCCCCUCUUGGGUUCUUAUCAGGGAAGUCCUGCCUCUCCUGGCUUCUCCCAUGGAUGCAGCAAGCUGCGGCCAGGAGUUUGAAUUAGAGGAUCAGUCAGGCUGUAGUAUCAUAGCAUAAUUCAGGGAUCCCAUACUUAUUAAUGCUUGCUCUUUGGCAAUAGAGGUGCAAGUCCCAUCUCUUCUAGAGCUAUGUUUGCAAGCAGAAUCAACCACUUGUCCCUACUGUCUCACCCUCUUGUGAUACGCCUUUCCCUUCCCCUCUUUCUACACCUGAAGACCAAAACCUAGUGCAUCCAAGCAAUGUGUCCUCUUUCCCACCACUGCCUCAAUUCCUAUAAUCCCCACCUCCAGUUCCUCCAAAGCAGCUGCUCACAGGGAGAUGUUUGCCCAUGACUGCCAUGUGAGCAAGCGCAAGCCAUCACCAUGUACUACUUUCAAGUAGUUCAUAUCCCACCAAAAAUGUGCGCCACAACUUAGGAAUGGCUGGAUGAUAUCAGCAGGACCAAAAAUGAAGAUGAUGACUGCUAUAACAAAUAAAAGCUUUGUUAUCUUUACAAAAAGUUCCUGCAAGGAUUAUAAAACACGAGCUUCAUUAAGGGAAGGGUAGAAGGAAUGGGUAGAAACGUAAAGAAGAUGAAGAGUCUCCAGAUAACUGCUUUAACUGAGUAGUACGAAGAAACGCUGGCUAUAUACUCAACAAAAUCCAGUAAGGUCUUUGGAAGGGUAGUGAAUAAUUAUAAACAGAAGUGAAAGCUCAGUAUUUUCAACUCACCUGUAGGAACAGAAGUGAAGGUGUGGAGAUUGGAAGAGGAAGCAGGGAGAUGGAAGAGCACAGAUGAAACAUGAUUUUGUUCAGGAAAACUUUCACUUCCUUGUAUAAAAGCAGAAAUUUACACAGCAUUAAAGUUCAGAAGAAACACUAAGCUAAUCCCUUACUGUGGGGGGCUGCUAAAUGCAGCAGAGAAACGUUCUUCAGUGUCAAGUGCAUUGAACCAGCUGGAUGACCAAAGAUGAAGACAAUAAGCACUCAGUUCUGAGACAUCAGCAGGCAGUCAAAGCAGAGCCAGCUUUGCAAAGCAGAGCACUCUGCAAGUGCUACUGUGCAUACCUUGAAGAAAUCAGCUUAUGAAACGGGGAAGAUUUCAGAGAGAAAAUACCAGCUUAGGAGGUGAUACAAGAAGAAAAGUUGGGGGCUCUUCUUGUCACACCAUAAUAAUGUUCAAUUACACUGGUGCUGAAGGGCCAGGUCUGAAAGUAUAGAUGGUGGGGUGGGGAAGAUGAGCAGGUUCAUGUACAGAAUGGAGGGACACUCUGGUCAAUAUCUAACCUAUAGCAACCUGCUCUUUCUUUGGAAGUGGUGAUUUCAUAAUCCACUAAAACAUCUUUGGAUGAAAACUUUUACAUGAUUUUAAAGGUUUUCUAUUUCUUACACAUAUUUUCUAUGUCUUCAGCAUUGCUCUGAAAGUGCUUUUACACAAAUAGCUAGAUAGAUAAAAAGUAUCUAGAAGUGCUUUUUAUACAAAUUACCCUUGCAAAGCAGAGAGAAGGAAGUAAUAUCUCCAUUUGAAAUGGACAUGAAGAGUGGUUCCGUAAUGGAUUUAUGGAGGUCACAGAAGAAGUCAAGAGGCAAAGGCAGAGACUAAUGCUCAGUCAUACCUCACUGGGGCUUCGCUUGUUUCUCCAUCGCUUCAUUUUUGUUUGUGGCAAACAGAUAAAUCCCUCAAUCCAGCCCAAACUGCUCUGUUUCCCAGAUGCAGCAGUUCAUAAGAGAUCAGCAUGUUGUGUAGGUGGGGAAAACUGGAAGAAGCAAGGAACAGAUAGAGGCAACAGCAGCAACCUAGCGACCAAAAAUGAGUCCUGACAAAUGCAGGAUUUCUGAUGUUACAUUUUUUCCCUUUGCAGGUGCUAUAUGACCCAGCAGGAAUCCCUUCCCUUCUCCCUUCCUCUGCAGCAUCCCGCAGGCUGGCAUGUGACAGCCUGGUGUGCCCUCUGCCUGUUGUAGGCCAGACGAAUGAACAAAGCCAGCAGGAAUGAAUGGAACAGAGACACUAUUUUCAUAUGCUAUUCCUGUAUUGAUCAAAAAAUAAAUUACUGUUGGUCCGAAA